rnacentral:lncRNA from 1 species
CGGGGAGGUAGCUGGGCCAGCAGAUCCUGGCUGUCCCUGUUUCUCAAGAUGCCAGCAGUCAGCAAAGCAGACCCUCUGAGUUUGCUCACAAGAACAAACUGGAUUGCAGAGCUGCUGGCACACAGGAAACAAAGGACCCUUGAAAUAACUUCCUCAUGGAGGCAUGAGCAAAGCUCUGCCAACCUGUCAGUCCAGCCAUGCAAGAGAGAGGGAGAGAGACAGAGAAAAAGAAAGGAGAGAGUGAAGGAGAGAUUCUUUCAGAUCUCAGCAGACAUUAAGGUAAAAGCCCAUUUCUCACUUCCUUAAUUACAUUUGUUUCUGUGUGUGUACAUGUAAACAGAAAUCCUGUUACCUUAGAGAGUUUUAAACUAAA